rnacentral:tRNA from 1 species
GCUGUAGCUCAGUAGUAGAGCAUCUUGCCUUGCAUGCAGAAGACCCUGGGUUCAAUCCCCAGCAUCUCCA